GAUGAACGCUGGCGGCGUGCCUAAUACAUGCAAGUCGAGCGAACAGACGAGGAGCUUGCUCCUCUGACGUUAGCGGCGGACGGGUGAGUAACACGUAGGUAACCUACCUAUAAGACUGGGAUAACUUCGGGAAACCGGAGCUAAUACCGGAUAAUAUUUCGAACCGCAUGGUUCGAUAGUGAAAGAUGGCUUUGCUAUCACUUAUAGAUGGAUCUGCGCCGUAUUAGCUAGUUGGUAAGGUAACGGCUUACCAAGGCAACGAUACGUAGCCGACCUGAGAGGGUGAUCGGCCACACUGGAACUGAGACACGGUCCAGACUCCUACGGGAGGCAGCAGUAGGGAAUCUUCCGCAAUGGGCGAAAGCCUGACGGAGCAACGCCGCGUGAGUGAUGAAGGUCUUCGGAUCGUAAAACUCUGUUAUUAGGGAAGAACAAACGUGUAAGUAACUAUGCACGUCUUGACGGUACCUAAUCAGAAAGCCACGGCUAACUACGUG
rnacentral:rRNA from 1 species